rnacentral:rRNA from 1 species
UGGGGAAUAUUGCGCAAUGGGGGAAACCCUGACGCAGCCAUGCCGCGUGAGUGAAGAAGGUCUUCGGAUCGUAAAGCUCUUUCAACGGUGAAGAUGAUGACGGUAGCCGUAGAAGAAGCCCCGGCUAACUUCGUGCCAGCAGCCGCGGUAAUACGGAGGGUGCAAGCGUUGUCCGGAAUUAUUGGGCGUAAAGAGCUCGUAGGCGGUCCGUUGCGUCUGCCGUGAAAACCCGGAGCUCAACUCCGGGCCUGCGGUGGAUACGGGCGGACUAGAGUCCGGUAGGGGAGACUGGAAUUCCUGGUGUAGCGGUGGAAUGCGCAGAUAUCAGGAGGAACACCGGUGGCGAAGGCGGGUCUCUGGGCCGGAACUGAGCGCUGAGGAGCGAAAGCGAUGGGGAGC